rnacentral:misc_RNA from 1 species
ACAUGCUGUCGAGCCUCUG